rnacentral:lncRNA from 1 species
UGCCAAAGUAUGUUCUCUAUUUAUUUUUUUUAUUUAAUUUCUAUAUCUGAAUCCUAUCUCACAUAUGAUGAUCCUGUUUAUAAUUUUAUGAUUUGAUCUUAUGCAUACUUAGAUUAAAUUAGAUUUAAUCUAAAAUUUUAAAUUUUACUGCAUACUUAUUUUGAAAAUUUUUUUUGCAUGCAUGAAAUCAUGAAACUCCAAUAGUGGUAUCAGAGCCACAUCAUAUGCA